rnacentral:rRNA from 1 species
CCUACGGGCGGCAGCAGUAGGGAAUCUUUCACAAUGGGCGAAAGCCUGAUGGAGCAACGCCGCGUGCAGGAUGAAGGCCUUCGGGUUGUAAACUGCUUUUAUAAGCGAGAAAGAUGAUGGUAACUUAUGAAUAAGGAGUGGCUAACUACGGGCCAGCAGCCGCGGUCAUACGUAGGAGCCGAGCAUUAUCCGGAGUGACUGGGUGUAAAGAGUUGCGUAGGUGGCAUAAUAAGUAGCUAGUGAAAUCUGGUGGCUCAACCAUUCAGACUCUUCGCUAAACUGUUAAGCUCGAGACCGUUAGGGGUAACUGGACUUUCUAGUGUAGGCGUGAAAUCCGUAGAUAUUAGCAAGAACACCAAUCGCGUAGGCAGGUUACUGGGACGGUUCUGACACUCAGGCACGAAAGCGUCGGGAGCAAACGGGAUUAGAUACCCCAGUAGUC